rnacentral:rRNA from 1 species
UACGGAGGGGGCGAGCGUUGUUCGGAGUUACUGGGCGUAAAGCGCACGUAGGCGGUGCGGUAAGUCAGGGGUUAAAGGCUGCAGCUCAACUGCAGUAAGGCCUUUGAUACUAUCGUGCUAGAGUGUCAGAGAGGAUGGCGGAAUUCCCGGUGUAGGGGUGAAAUGCGUAGAUAUCGGGAGGAACACCAGUAGCGAAGGCGGCCAUCUGGCUGAUAACUGACGCUGAGGUGCGAGAGCGUGGGGAGCAAACAGG